GGCGAACGGGUGAGUAAUACGUGAGUGACCUACCUUUGACUCUGGGAUAAGCCUGGGAAACUGGGUCUAAUACCGGAUACGACCAAUCUCCGCAUGGGGUGUUGGUGGAAAGCGUUAUGGAGUGGUUUUAGAUGGGCUCACGGCCUAUCAGCUUGUUGGUGAGGUAAUGGCUUACCAAGGCGACGACGGGUAGCCGACCUGAGAGGGUGACCGGCCACACUGGGACUGAGACACGGCCCAG
rnacentral:rRNA from 1 species